GUGGUUCAACACUAGUCCUGCCUCUCUUUCCUCAGACAACGUCUAGUGAUCAAGAAGUUUGGUGAAACAUGUGCGUGUCUUCAGAAACCCGCUUUGCGGUUGCAAGCAUGGUCUCCAGUCUGGAUCAUGUCGGGAGGACAGGAACACGUGGACUUGGAUGAUGUCCGCCAUUGGCGUUUGAACGAGUAACAUCUGCAUUUGAUGCAUUGAUUCUAAAUCGCGAUGAAUGCGAUCAAGCGAUUGAGGUUUCCGGUUGUAGAGUCUCUAGCUGAAUCAUGGGAGAACAAACUCUUGGACUUGGAGGAUGUUCGCCUUUGAACGAGUAUAACAUCUGCAUUGUGCGAUCAAGAGAUUACUGUUGACUGGUCGGCGGUUAAUGUUGAUCGUAAACUCUACCUGAGCAACUUAACUCCAUAUGAUUUUCUCUGGACUCCUUGAGGCUGCAAGGCAUGUACACUUGGAUAUGAUGCAGCUUUACAUCCUUUAUACACGGUUUAUUUGCAAACGUGAGAUCCAAGAAGUCUUUUGGUGUCUUGCAGUUUAGAA